AUACUUACCUGGACGGGGUCAAUGGGUGAUCAAGAAGGCCCAUGGCCUAGGGUAGUGACCUCCAUUGCACUUAGGAGGGGUGCUAUCCUAAGGUCUACUGAAAUGGUCAAGCCUACGUUGUAGUUUUUGGUAGUGGGGGCAUGCGUUCACGCAACCCUAG
rfam:Lupinus angustifolius cultivar Tanjil chromosome LG17, whole genome shotgun sequence.